CGGUGGAUAGAGAUGGGCACGCGCAAGAUUAGAUAGUUGGUAGGGUAACGGCCUACCAAGUCAAUGAUCUUUAGGGGGCCUGAGAGGGUGAUCCCCCACACUGGUACUGAGACACGGACCAGACUCCUACGGGAGGCAGCAGUGAGGAAUAUUGGACAAUGGGUGAGAGCCUGAUCCAGCCAUCCCGCGUGAAGGACGACGGCCCUAUGGGUUGUAAACUUCUUUUGUAUAGGGAUAAACCUUUCCUCGUGAGGAAAGCUGAAGGUACUAUACGAAUAAGCACCGGCUAACUCCGUGCCAGCAGCCGCGGUAAUACGGAGGGUGCAAGCGUUAUCCGGAUUUAUUGGGUUUAAAGGGUCCGUAGGCGGAUCUGUAAGUCAGUGGUGAAAUCUCAUAGCUCAACUAUGAAACUGCCAUUGAUACUGCAGGUCUUGAGUAAGGUAGAAGUAGCUGGAAUAAGUAGUGUAGCGGUGAAAUGCAUAGAUAUUACUUAGAACACCAAUUGCGAAGGCAGGUUACUAUGUCUUAACUGACGCUGAUGGACGAAAGCGUGGGGAGCGAACAGGAUUAGAUACCCUGGUAGUCCACGCCGUAAACGAUGCUAACUCGUUUUUGGGCUUUCGGGUUCAGAGACUAAGCGAAAGUGAUAAGUUAGCCACCUGGGGAGUACGUUCGCAAGAAUGAAACUCAAAGGAAUUGACGGGGGCCCGCACAAGCGGUGGAUUAUGUGGUUUAAUUCGAUGAUACGCGAGGAACCUUACCAAGGCUUAAAUGGGAAUUGAUCGGUUUAGAAAUAGACCUUCCUUCGGGCAAUUUUCAAGGUGCUGCAUGGUUGUCGUCAGCUCGUGCCGUGAGGUGUUAGGUUAAGUCCUGCAACGAGCGCAACCCCUGUCACUAGUUGCCAUCAUUCAGUUGGGGACUCUAGUGAGACUGCCUACGCAAGUAGAGAGGAAGGUGGGGAUGACGUCAAAUCAUCACGGCCCUUACGCCUUGGGCCACACACGUAAUACAAUGGCCAGUACAGAGGGCUGCUACCAGGCGACUGGAUGCUAAUCUCGAAAGCUGGUCUCAGUUCGGAUUGGAGUCUGCAACUCGACUCUAUGAAGCUGGAAUCGCUAGUAAUCGCGCAUCAGCCAUGGCGCGGUGAAUACGUUCCCGGGCCUUGUACACACCGCCCGUCAAGCCAUGGAAGUCUGGGGUACCUGAAGUCGGUGACCGUAACAGGAGCUGCCUAGGGUAAAACAGGUAACUAGGGCUAAGUCGUAACAAGGUAGCCGUACCGGAAGGUGCGGCUGGAACAUCUCAUUU
rnacentral:rRNA from 2 species